rnacentral:tRNA from 1 species
GCCGGAGAGCCUGGUAGGAGGCAGAGGAGCCUAAGCCUGCUAAGCCUGUGGCCCUUGUGGCCGCGUGGGUUCAAAUCCCACCCCCGGCG